rnacentral:rRNA from 1 species
GGAGUUAGCCGGUGCUUCUUCUGUGAGUGAUGUCCUUCCUGCCGGCUAUUAACCCGCAGGCCUUCUUCCUCACUGAAAGUGCUUUACAACCCGAAGGCCUUCUUCACACACGCGGCAUGGCUGGAUCAGGGUUGCCCCCAUUGUCCAAUAUUCCCCACUGCUGCCUCCCGUAGGAGUCUGGGCCGUGUCUCAGUCCCAGUGUGGCUGAUCAUCCUCUCAGACCAGCUACGGAUCGUCGCCUUGGUGAGCCGUUACCUCACCAACCAGCUAAUCCGACAUAGGCUCAUCCGAUAGCGCGAGGCCCGAAGGUCCCCCGCUUUCCCCCGUAGGGCGUAUGCGGUAUUAGCCUGGGUUUUCCCCCAGGUUUAUCCCCCACUACCGGGCAGAUUCCUAUGCAUUACUCACCCGUCCGCCGCUCGCCACCAGGGAGCAAGCUCCCCGUGCUGCCGCUCGACUUGCAUGUGUUAGGCCUGCCGCCAGCGUUCAAUCUGAGCCAUAAUCAAACUCUGA